GACGGAGGGGGCUAGCGUUGUUCGGAAUUACUGGGCGUAAAGGGCGCGUAGGCGGAUUGGUAAGUUGGGAGUGAAAGCCCCGGGGGCUUAACCUCGGAAUAGCUUUCAAAACUGCCAGUCUUGAGUGUAGUAGGGGGAUGAUGGAAUUCCUAGUGUAGAGGUGAAAUUCUUAGAUAUUAGGAGGAACACCGGUGGCGAAGGCGGGUCUCUGGGCCGAUACUGACGCUGAGGAGCGAAAGCGUGGGGAGCGAACAGG
rnacentral:rRNA from 1 species